UGAGGAAUAUUGGUCAAUGGGCGGGAGCCUGAACCAGCCAAGCCGCGUGAGGGAUGAAGGCCCUAUGGGUCGUAAACCUCUUUUGUCAGGGAACAAAAGCGAGUAUGUAUACUAGUCUGAGUGUACCUGAAGAAAAAGCAUCGGCUAACUCCGUGCCAGCAGCCGCGGUAAUACGGAGGAUGCGAGCGUUAUCCGGAUUUAUUGGGUUUAAAGGGUGCGUAGGCGGCGGUGCAAGUCAGCGGUAAAAGCCCGGGGCUCAACCCCGGCGAGCCGUUGAAACUGCAGUGCUAGAGAAGGCGAGAGGUACGCGGAAUGCGCAGUGUAGUGGUGAAAUGCUUAGAUAUUGCGCAGAACUCCGAUUGCGAAGGCAGCGUACUGGCGCCUGACUGACGCUGAGGCACGAAAGCGUGGGGAUCGAACAGGAUUAGAUACC
rnacentral:rRNA from 1 species